GCCCUCGUGGAGCAGUGGAGUGCUCGCCUGCCCGUCAAGCAGGAGGCCGCCGGUUCGAACCCGGUCGUGGGCG
rnacentral:tRNA from 1 species